rnacentral:rRNA from 1 species
GUCACACCCGUUCCCAUACCGAACACGGAAGUUAAGCUCUUCAGCGCCGAUGGUAGUUGGGGGUUUCCCCCUGUGAGAGUAGGACGUCGCCGGGC